CGCACCUUGCGCUCCUUGGUAUUCCGAGGAGCAUGCCUGUUUGAGUGUCAUGAAACUCUCAACUGCCCUAGGCUCUUGUGGUCUACGGGUGAGGUUGGACUUGGAGGUCUGCUGGCGCAGCUACAUGCUUGUCGGCUCCUCUUGAAUGCAUGAGCUUUCCAAUCCUUGGCAGAGUAUCGUCGAUGUGAUAAUUAUCUACGUCGUCUGAGAAAGCCGGUGGGGGAAACCUUUGAUCACGCUGGGUCUUUAAGCCCACGUAUGAUAAAUUCGACCUCAAAUCAGGUAGGACUACCCGCUGAACUUAA
rnacentral:misc_RNA from 1 species